CUGAAUGAGCAAACACAACAGGCACACAGGCUGUCUGGCCCCUGGGGGUCUGAGAAUAGUGGAGGAACCUGGGAAAGGAUGCUGCCAGAGGCCUUGUGGUCUAUUGAGCAGGGGUCUCAGCAAACUGGUCCAACUCUUCUCAGAUAAGAGACGCCUGCUGGAAUCUAAGCGGAUCUGAUUGAACAGAGCCUCGUGGUUCCCAGGCCAGUCUCAACCUUGCUGCGUAGCAGAGAAUGACCUUGAACGUCUGAUUCUCCUGCUUUCCCAUCCCAAGAUUCUGAAACUGUGGGCAUCGGCCACACACCGAGCUUAUUUAUAGAAAUGUGCUGAAGGGUAACCCGGUGCCCACUACUGGUCUGAGCUCUGCUUCCUGAUCUGCCAGUACGUGAAGAAGUCACGCCACCAGCUCCCACCUCCACAGGGAUUUUAUCACAGCAACAGGAAGAGGAACUAACGCCAUUGAGGGUAUCAAGCUGACGGCAGAGCUUGAGGAAGGGCAGCCGCUUCACCAGUUCACGUCCUUGCUUCCCGCUCCACAUGGCCGCUUCUCUCCUCCCUCCUGACCAUUUUGCUGCAUGUGAUGAAACAGACCCAGGGAUUAGAGAGUGGUACGUUCAGAACCAGAAGUCAGAACUCAAACUCAAGCGGGUCUAUCACCUCCCCUAGACACCUUUGAGACCGGAGAUGGCCACCGGAGGAUGUUGGAGCCUUACUACGGAACAGCUUGACGCAUCGCCUUCUGCAGGGUGCCCUAAGGACGUCUCCCAGUAUCACGCUCUGUGCUCCAUCUAAACAAGAAGCGGUGAUGGCUCCACACCAGCCCCGAGUAUCUCAGAACAGAAGAGCCAGGCUCCCAGAUGGGAGCAUCUUUUUGAUUACUUUUUAAUGAAAAACGCAUUUGCAUCCAGCCUGAAAUUAUAUUGUCAGCAGUUAAUUAUCACCUGUC
ensembl:lincRNA A930031H19Rik RIKEN cDNA A930031H19 gene